rnacentral:rRNA from 1 species
UACGUAGGGGGCUAGCGUUAUCCGGAAUUACUGGGCGUAAAGGGUGCGUAGGUGGUUUCUUAAGUCAGAGGUGAAAGGCUACGGCUCAACCGUAGUAAGCCUUUGAAACUGGGAAACUUGAGUGCAGGAGAGGAGAGUGGAAUUCCCAGUGUAGAGGUGAAAUUCGUAGAUAUUGGGAAGAACACCGGUGGCGAAGGCGGCUCACUGGCUCGUUUCUGACGCUCAGGCGCGACAGCGUGGGGAUCAAACAGG